rnacentral:rRNA from 1 species
UACUCAGUUCGGAUUGUAGUCUGCAACUCGACUACAUGAAGCUGGAAUCGCUAGUAAUCGCAGAUCAGAAUGCUGCGGUGAAUACGUUCCCGGGUCUUGUACACACCGCCCGUCACACCAUGGGAGUCGGAAAUGCCCGAAGCCGGUGACCCAACCAAAAGGAGGGAGCCGUCGAAGGCAGGUCUGAUAACUGGGGUGAAGUCGUAACAAGGUAUC